UAAUAAAAGUGUUUUAUGGCACUUUUCAAACAAUCCAUAUCCACCUUGUGUGCAAUGUUUUAUUUUGAAAGGGGGGAAAGAGUGUAAAAAACUUUUUUUUUUCCCUUUCUUUUUAUAAACUUAUCAACUCUUUAUUUUUAAUUGCCAAUUUGUCUGAAAUAAAAAUUAUUAUUUAUGAAUAACUUAAUUCAAAAUA
rnacentral:misc_RNA from 1 species